UGUGUUUUUCCUCUUUUCCUCCUUCCUGCAGCUCCAUCUUCAUCAUUCUGUGUCCAGUAUAUGUGAACACGUCCAAAGCAUCUGAGCCUCAUGUUACCCGUUUGUGUGUCUGCCCAACAAGGACGUGGUGCUGAAUGCAUCCAGACCCCUGCUGACUGUCUUUGCAGCUUCGGUCAAAGGUACAGUGUCCACUGUGACCCUGAGAGCAGGACACAGCCAGAGAUGGCAGAUCCAGGCUCUCAGCCUCCAGCUGAAACUUCCAGUCCUCCCCCAGCCAGAAGCUCUGAUGCUGGGCUGAGAGACUUUGAUCCUUCCCUGGAUCCAGAAAUCCAGGAGGGAGAAGGAGAACAGGACCUCCUUCCUGAUCUGGAGAGGCCUGAGGGAAAGAAAGAUGGAGCAGACAGAGCUUUGAACAAAUCCAAACCUCCUGAGCUUCACCUCCACAAAGGUGUGACAGGUGAAGGACACCGGCGAAUAGGAGGACAGAAGCUGAGAGCCAUUAGUCACAUGACUUCAGCUGCUGCUGCCUCACCAACCACUGGCCCCUCGGUGUCUGGUAAAAGGACGAUGCUGCUGUCCAAUGAGGCGAGGAGAGAAGUAGCCAAACAGGCGAGAGCCGUGAAGGAGGAACGGCGGGCAGCUCUGGAUGCCCGACAUAAAUACCUGAUGAGCAGGCUGGCCGACGCCGGCAGCCUGGAGGAGGCGGCGGUGGAAGACGCCAUCGUCUCUGAUGACAGAUUCAGUCUGAUCCAUGAAUUCUUUGCUGCAAACGGAUCCAAGAAGCUGAUUUUCUUCUAUCAGGAUGUCAAACAGAGUCUGUCCUCCCGUCAGUCUUCCUUUGUGGACGCAUCAAACUCAGCUGUGGCUCAGAGGAAACUCUUCCUCACUACGGGGAACUCUGAGAGAAGACGUCAAACCCCUUCUUGGCAGUUUAUCUCAAUAAAGCUGUACUAUCCCAGCCAUCUGGGAGGGAAAAAAUGAAAAAGAAAACUUUUGAUGUGUCCAGACAUUUCUUCACAUCAGCUGCCAGCAACCAGUUUCAGCAUGUACAACUGUUGCAUUGUCAACUGUGUCAACGACCAAUGAGGACAUCACUGCUACACUUGAUGAUACUCACACCUUGAAAAAGUGCAAAGGUUUCCCAACAGGACUUCGACGGUUGGUCUUCUUGAUCAAGCUAUAAUCUGUUCUCAUCAAAACCACCAUAAAACCAGUUUGACAGGAUGAUGCUGAUAAAUCCCUCUAGACCUUUUUGUGACAGUAUUAAAAGCUUGCUGGAAAUUCUCUGUACUCAUAUUUGUGCUCAGUAUCUGUAGGAGCCAUUUUUGUGUGGGUACCUCAUGUAUGCCACUAGGGGUCACCUUUUGUGUUACAUAUGGUGUGUCUAUUUAAGGUAGAUAGGUCAUUAGCAGCAGGUGUGUUGUUGUUGGGAAGGAGCAAACAGAUUGUGACCGCUGCGCUGUUAUGUUAAAUUGUGUUGGAAUAAAGAAUCUAAAGGACAAGAUAAGUAUGGUUUCAGUUAUUGAACUAAGUUUAAUACGUUUAUUCAUACCAGUGACAUUGCAUUAACCUGCCAACAAACAGCUCAGUGGCUUUAAAUGUAGGCUUAGCCUCGACAGCAUCUAUAACACCAUUAAAAUGCAGUAAUGGCCACACAAAAAAUAAAACGUGACCAUAUUCAGUUUAAGCCAUUUUAUGUGGUUUAGUUUAUACACUUGAAUCACAGUAGAUGAUA